rnacentral:rRNA from 1 species
UCCCGUUGAUCCUGCGGGAGGCUGCUGCUAUUGGAGUUCGAUUAAGCCAUGCAAGUCAGGUCGUAAGACCGGCAGAUCGCUCAGUAACACGUCGAUAAUCUGCCCUUAGGUAAGGGAUAAGCUUGGGAAACUGAGUGUAAUACCUUAUAGGGGAAUAUGGCUGGAAGGCCUUUUCUUUGAAAGAUUACGCCUAAGGAUGAGUCGGCGGCGGAUUAGGUUGUUGGUGGGGUAAUGGCCCACCAAGCCGAUGAUCCGUAGGGGCCCUGAGAGGGGUAGCCCCGAGAAGGGCACUGAGAUACUGGCCCUAGCCCUACGGGGUGCAGCAGGCGCGAAACCUUUACAAUGCAGGAAACUGUGAUAGGGGAACUCCAAGUGCUCAUGCUUUGCAUGGGCUUUUGCCAAAUUAAAACCGUUUGGCGAAUAAGUGGUGGGUAAGACUGGUGCCAGCCGCCGCGGUAACACCAGCGCCACAAGUGGGAGCCAUGAUUAUUGGGCCUAAAGCGUCCGUAGCUGGUUAAGUAAAUCUCUUGUGAAAUUGUUGUGCUUAACGCAAUACCGUGCAGGAGACACUGCUUAACUCGGAACCGGUAGGGGUUAGAAGUAUGUUUGGGGUAGCGGUAAAAUGUUAUCAUCCUAAACAGACUACCUGUGGCGAAGGCGUCUAACUAGGACGGGUUCGACAGUGAGGGACGAAAGCCAGGGGAGCAAACCGGAUUAGAUACCCGAGUAGUCCUGGCCGUAAACGCUGCGAGCUAGGUGUUGCGUAUCUUUCGUGGAUAUGCAGUAUCGAAGCGAAGGCGUUAAGCUCGCCGCCUGGGAAGUAUGGUCGCAAGACUGAAACUUAAAGGAAUUGGCGGGGGAGCACCACAAGGGGAGCGGCGUGCGGUUUAAUCUAACUCAACGCAGAGAAUCUCACCAGAUGCGACGGCAGUAUGAAGGUCUGGCUGAAUGUCAUACCCAACGAGCCGAGAGGUAGUGCAUGGCCGUCGUCAGCUCGUGCCGUAAGGUGUCCAGUUAAGUCUGGCAACGAGCGAGACCUGUAUCUGCAAUUGCUAACGACUCCUCUGAGGAUCGAGUACCUUGCAGGAACUGCCCUGGAAACAGGGAGGAAGGUGCAGGCUACGGUAGGUCUGUAUGCUCCGAAUCUUCUGGGCUACACGCGCGCAACAAUGGUAGAGACAAAGGGAUGCGACUCCGAAAGGAGAGGCUAACCCCCAAACUCUAUCUCAGUCCAGAUCGAGGAUUGUAACUCAUCCUCGUGACGUUGGAAUCCCUAGUAAUCGCGUUUCAUCAUAUCGCGGUGAAUAUGUCCCUGCUCCUUGUACACACCGCCCGUCAAACCAACCGAGCAGGGUUAGGGUGAGUAUAUAUUUUUUGAUAUAUCCGAAUCCUAGCUCAGUGAGGUGGGUUAAGUCGUCACAAGGUA